UACGUAGGCAGCAAGCGUUGUUCGGAGUUACUGGGCGUAAAGGGUGCGUAGGCGGUCCUAUAAGUAUGGUGUGAAAUCUCCCGGCUUAACUGGGAGGGUGCGCUAUAGACUGUGGGACUAGAGUGUGGGAGAGGAAAGUGGAAUUCCUGGUGUAGCGGUGAAAUGCGUAGAUAUCAGGAGGAACACCGGUGGUGUAAACGCUUCUGGACCAUAACUGACGCUGAGGCACGAAAGCGUGGGUAGCAAACAGG
rnacentral:rRNA from 1 species